CGGUUAAGUUAGAAAGGGCGCACGGUGGAUGCCUUGGCACUAGGAGCCGAUGAAGGACGGGACGAACACCGAUAUGCUUCGGGGAGCUGUAAGCAAGCUUUGAUCCGGAGAUUUCCGAAUGGGGAAACACACCACUCGUAAUGGAGUGGUAUCCAUAUCUGAAUUCAUAGGAUAUGAGAAGGCAGACCCGGGGAACUGAAACAUCUAAGUACCCG
rnacentral:rRNA from 1 species